AGAGUUUGAUCCUGGCUCAGGAUGAACGCUAGCGGCAGGCCUAAUACAUGCAAGUCGGACGGGAUCUAGAUCUAAGCUUGCUUAGAUUUAGUGAGAGUGGCGCACGGGUGCGUAACGCGUGAGCAACCUACCCAUAUCAGGGGGAUAGCCCGGAGAAAUCCGGAUUAACACCGCAUGACACAACGACUCGGCAUCGAGAUGUUGUUAAAUAUUUAUAGGAUAUGGAUGGGCUCGCGUGACAUUAGCUAGUUGGUAAGGUAACGGCUUACCAAGGCUACGAUGUCUAGGGGCUCUGAGAGGAGAAUCCCCCACACUGGUACUGAGACACGGACCAGACUCCUACGGGAGGCAGCAGUAAGGAAUAUUGGUCAAUGGAGGGAACUCUGAACCAGCCAUGCCGCGUGCAGGAUGACUGCCCUAUGGGUUGUAAACUGCUUUUGUCCAGGAAUAACCACCACUACGUGUAGUGGCUUGAAUGUACUGGAAGAAUAAGGAUCGGCUAACUCCGUGCCAGCAGCCGCGGUAAUACGGAGGAUCCGAGCGUUAUCCGGAUUUAUUGGGUUUAAAGGGUGCGUAGGCGGCUCAUUAAGUCAGGGGUGAAAGACGGCAGCUCAACUGUCGCAGUGCCUUUGAUACUGAUGAGCUUGAAUGUGGUUGAAGAUGGCGGAAUGAGACAAGUAGCGGUGAAAUGCAUGGAUAUGUCUCAGAACUCCGAUUGCGAAGGCAGCUGUCUAAGUCAUUAUUGACGCUGAUGCACGAAAGCGUGGGGAUCGAACAGGAUUAGAUACCCUGGUAGUCC
rnacentral:rRNA from 1 species